UACGUAGGUGACAAGCGUUGUCCGGAAUUAUUGGGCGUAAAGGGAGCGCAGGCGGUUGGAAUAGUCUGAUGUGAAAGCCCACGGCUUAACCGUGGAAGGUCAUUGGAAACUGUCCAACUUGAAUGCAGAAGAGGUAAGUGGAAUUCCAUGUGUAGCGGUGAAAUGCGUAGAUAUAUGGAGGAACACCAGUGGCGAAGGCGACUUACUGGGCUCAUUCUGACGCUGAGGCUCGAAAGCGUGGGGAGCAAACAGG
rnacentral:rRNA from 1 species